rnacentral:rRNA from 1 species
GGCAAAGCUCAAAUUUGAAACCUUCGGGAUUGUAAUUUGAAGAUUUGGAAUUGGAGAAAGCUAACCCAAGUUGCUUGGAAUAGUACGUCAUAGAGGGUGACAACCCCGUCUGGCUAACCGUUCUCCAUGUAUUGCCUUAUCAAAGAGUCGAGUUGUUUGGGAAUGCAGCUCAAAGUGGGUGGUAAACUCCAUCUAAAGCUAAAUACUGGUGAGAGACCGAUAGCGAACAAGUACUGUGAAGGAAAGGUGAAAAGAACUUUGAAAAGAGAGUGAAAUAGUAUGUGAAAUUGUUGAUAGGGAAGGAAAUGAGUGGAGAGUGGUUGAGGUUUCAGCUUGCCUUUGGGCAGGUGUAUUGCCAACGCCGAGUCAUUGACAGCGAGACGGCGGUU